rnacentral:ncRNA from 1 species
GUUUCCGUGUCGAACCUUGUUAAAACAAGAAAUUUUACGGAAUGACCCAUUUUGCCAGACAGAUCAUCAACGCAGCAAUGGCGUAAGACGUAUUGAUUUUUCAGGCAGUUAGCGGGCUGCGGGUUGCAGUCCUUACCGGUAUAUGUUCUAUGUACUACGCGUUGCAGAAAGGCGGCAAAUCUGGGAAUCCCCAGGAGCUUAUGCCCGGGUGAGCAGAUGAAGCCAACGCAUCUGCGCGUGAAAGACGAUGAACAUAAUGGAAUCUUCUCUGGAGAGUAACUCCCAGGCUGUUCCCCUGAUAAUUGCGCUGUAUUUCCGUAUGAAAUACAGGCAACCGACACUCUGCGCCUCUUUGAGCAGACGAUAACCGUGAGGUUGGCGACGCGAAUAGACACGAGGCCAUCGGUUCACACCCGGAAAGGCAUUACUAUGCCCGCAGCUUAGUCGUCAA